rnacentral:tRNA from 1 species
UGGGCGGUGGCGAAGAGGUUAACGCACUUCUCUGAUAAGGAAGCAUGCGCGGGUUCGAAUCCCGCUCGCCCAAC